GCGCGCGUCAUCUUCCUCGCGACACAUAAGAGGAACGAGUCUCGAGACGCUACGUAUAAGCUAAACAGACAUUUGUUUUUGUCUCUUCCCCUUUCUCUCUCUCUCCCAUCUCCCUCGUAAACUCCUUUUCUUCGUCUUUCGUAAUUCCAUGCUUCUUCUUUAGCUCACCUUCUCUCCAUGAUCCUCUUCCCCAGCCGCCCAUCAUGACUCUGACUCCUCCGCCGCCGCAGCAAACGCCUACUUCCCCGCGCCGAGUUCUCAUCGUCGGAAACUACUGCCACGACGUUCUGAUCCAAAACGGCACCGUCGUGGCCGAAACCCUCGGCGGCGCCGCCUCUUUCAUCUCCAACGUCCUAGAUUCCUCCUCCGUCUCCUGCGAUCUAAUCUCCAAAGUCGGCCGCGACUUCAAAUACGACGUCGCCCACCCCCCGAUCGUGGCCCCGGAGAAGGAGACCACGGUCUUCGAAGCCUAUUUCGAUCUCGCAGCCGAUCGAGUAUUGAAACGGGUCGCUGCAUGCGAUCCGAUUCUCCCUUCGGACAUCCCCGACUCGAGAUUCGACAUCGGGAUGGCCGUCGGCGUCGGCGGGGAGAUUCUCCCGGAGACGCUGGAGAAGAUGGUGGAGAUCUGCGACGUGGUGGCUGUAGACAUACAAGCUCUAAUUAGAGUUUUCGGUCCCGUUGAUGGAGCUGUGAAGCUUGUUGAUUUGAAGGAGAGUGGGUUUCGUCACCUCAUGGGUAAGAUCGGGUUCUUGAAAGCUUCCUCGGACGAAGCUCUGUUCAUGGAUGUUGAAGAGAUGAGGCGUUUGUGCUGUGUGGUGGUGACUAGUGGUGAAAAGGGGUGUAGGAUUUAUGACAAGGAUGAUGAGACGGUGGUUCCUCCGUUUUUGGCGAAGCAGGUGGAUCCUACCGGCGCUGGGGAUAGCUUUCUUGGUGGUUUGGUGGUUGGUCUUGUGGAGGGUUUGGAUGUUCCCGAUGCAGCGUUGUUGGGGAACCUCUUUGGUUCCAUCACUGUUGAGCACAUUGGUCAGCCCAAGUUCGACUCCGUGAUGCUUCAGAAGGAAAAGACAACAUCACGAACAUAGAACCAGUAGUGGAGUCAGAUAAUGUGUCGAGCUUAAUUUGUUAGUACUAUCAAGAUCCGGGAAAAGUAGGAGUUGCAUCUUGCGGGGCUUACUUACUUCCAAUAUAAUCAACCAAGAGGCGGUGAAUUAGAAGCUUGUUCUUAUAUGAUGUCAUAGGUUUUACAUCUGAUAAAUGUGGUCAAGUCUUCACAUUUUUAUUUAUAAGAUUAUGUAGAUAGUGUCUUUUAUUGUUUUAGUUCAUAGUUGAUCUAGCAGCAGUUGCAUUCAAACAUAGAGCAGACACAGAAAUAAAGUUCUGGUUAAGCAUUACCCGAACAAUCCUGAACACCAUCGAUGCUCUAAGAAACAUUUGAAUAAAGUAAAAGAUGAGGUACAGAGAAGAAAGAAGCAAUGCAAUCUCUCAAGCAGCCACAACAAUGAUCAUGACGAGUUCCAUGCGCGUCUAAGUCCAGCUCGGUUUCAGCACUCUCCACUUCAACCAAAGCUAUUGGUCAACGGUCACUUAUGUGACCGGUCAUGAUUGGUUCCUGCAAAUACGAAUCUUUUAAUCCCUAACAACGCUCUUCUGAAUUGUGUAAACUUUCCACGUUUAUGAAUUUUGGAAAUUUAUCUACUCUUUAGUGUAUAAACGCCAUGCCCAGCGUCAUCAAACGCUUUUUGUGGCCGCC